rnacentral:lncRNA from 1 species
UCAUAAUUGAAAAUAAUUUUGACGAAUUUUAGUCAAUUAGAGAACAUCCAUCCAUCAUAUCCAACACACACAACCAAGAUGAAUUAAUCACCAAGAGAUCAAAUUUGAUUUCAAAAUUUUGAUGAAUAUAUGCAUUAAGAAAUCAUAUAUUAAAUUAUCGUCAAAAUAAUAAAAAGUGGAGUAAAAACGAUAAUUAAUAUGAAUUUAACCUAAUAUGAUUGUGAAGUUAAAUACCGUUUACGCGACAUUAAAGAAAUUUAUCUCCUCAAAAUAAUGAUUCUCAAUCAUCUCCUUUCUCAAAAAUUUUGAAUUCCUAAACACCUUUCCUCAAAAUGAUUUUUAACCAAACAAAAUUCAAAGCAGCAAAAAUUAUUUAAACAUGUAAUGCAAUGAAUAAAAUUAUGCAACAAACACCUAUCAAUGCACUACACAAGAAUUCAAAAACAAUUAAGACGAGAAGCAAGGAAAGAUAUCACCUUUCCGGAUCCAAACUUGUCGGAUCUUUGGUUUUCUCGGCUUGUCGACAUUUGGUGCCAUUUGCUUAGAUUUUAGAUCAACCGUUGGUGUUUUCUUCGCUUGAGGCUUUGUUUGAAUUUGUCGUUUUGCAUUAGACAUCCGGUUUGCUUGUGGCUUAGGUAAAACUUGGCUUUGCGGUUUAGAAGUCCGAUUCUUUUGAGGUACCCGACUCACUUGAUUUUUCUUUUGAUUCCGCGGGGAAAGUCGAGUUGUAGAUGAUGCCGCUGGAGCUUUAGGAGUUGUCGAAUGAUGUGAAGACCUUGCCGAUUGAUUCAUCUUUCCUUUAUUUGGGCAAUUCCUUUUGAUGUGUCCUUUGAUGCCACAUCGAUGACACACUUUGCCUUUUAAAGUUGUUGAGACUUUCGAAGUUGAUUUAGAAUCCUUCUCAACAAAAACUCUUUCGUAUCCGAGGCCUAAUUUAUCCGUUUGACCCAACCCGAGCAUAUGGUCCAAUUUCUUCGAUCCCGAUGACAACUUUUGUAUGUCGGAUUGGAGUUGUCGAACUUGGUUGUUCAAGGAUUGAUUGGAUUUGUGCGAUUCAUGAAAUUGAUGCUCCAAAAAUUCAAUCUUGUCUUUAGAUGAUUUGACCGUUGAUUCAGCUUCAUUGAGCUUCUCUUGGAGGUCCGAAUUAUUCUUCAAAAAUGAUUCCCUUUCCUCCUCGAGAGCUUUGUUCAUGGUCUUCAAGUUGUUGUUAUCCUCUUCAAGAUUCAACAAACGACGCCUCAACUUCUUAUUCAGUUUAGCCAUCUUCUUUGAUUCGAUAAAAAGUUGAUUGUAUGCUUCCGCAAUGUCGUCGUCAUUUGAUUCCUACUCGCUUUCCCCAUUGUCGCUCGAAGAAUCAUGCGAAGAAAGAGAAAUAUUGGAAUUAGUAGCAAUAGAAGAUAAACAUACAACGUUAGACGAAGGCAAGGUAGAUAUAGCAAAUAAAGCAAGAUUUCCAUUCUUUUCUUCGUCACUUGAGCUUGAAUCACUUGAAGUUGUAUCAUCCCACGUCUUUGCUUGCAAUGCCUUCUUAGUAUACGAUUUCUUUGAAGGACAAUCCGUUACGAUGUGACCGUAGCCUUUGCACUUGUAGCAUCGGAUUUCGCCUUCAAAUUCAUCCUUUUUUUUCGAAGCCUUUGCACGCUUCUUCUCUUUAGAUGUAGAAGAUUUAGAAAACGUUUGUUGCUUAGACGAUGUAGCCUUGUCCGAAUUGUUCUUCUUUCGGAAAUUCCGACGAAACUUCUUCGUUAGAAGCGCCAAUUGAUGUUCAAAGUCGGCAAUUGAGAUCUCUCCGUUGGAAUUCGAGUCUCCGUCUUCCUCUUUCGUCGAUUUCAACGCAACCCCUGUGCUUUUAGAGAAAGACUUGGAAGAAGAUUGAUUAGUAGGAAAAGUCAUCUCAUACUUUUCUGGAUUUUGUUACAAUAGAUGACCUAUAUGGCAUUUCACCUCUCUCCCUCUCAUUUCACAUUCUCUUUUGCACUCUAGAGAGAGAAAGAGAAGGGAGAGAAGGAGAGAAGAAGAAGAAGUUGAGGAGAGCAAGAUCUUGAGGCUUUGAGCAUCUUCCUCUCCCUUGCUCACCAUUGGAGGCUUGGAGCUUGGGUUAGGAGCUUGAUAGAGGAUCAAUCUUCAACCCUAGAGCAUUUUGAGCUUGGUUUGGAGCUACCUAGAGGUUGUUGCUUGUUUCUCCCCUCAAUCAUUUUUGGUUGAUUUUGGGAGAUAAACCCUAGAUUUGGAUUUUAGGGUUUAUUUUGGGCUUUUUGUUUGGUGGCUUUUGGGGCUAAUCUAAUGAGAUUAGAACUUUGGAUUAGGUUACUUUGGAUGGGAUUUGCAUCCAUUUGAGCUUUAUUUGAGGAUUUCUUCACCGGGGUGAGUUUUUUCCACCUUAGCUUGAGUGUUAGUGAUGAGUUAGUGUUAAUCGUAAGGUUCGUUUAACCUUGUUCCUACAUCUUUUAGGGUGCUAGGAGGCUGUGAACCUUGUCGGAGCUUCGAAGGUUUCGGUAUCUAGGUGGGUUCACUUCAUGAAAUUUGGGCAAUGGCCCUAUGAUUACAUACUAGUCGUAAGUCUUUUAAUGUAAAUCCUGCUAGAUAGAAUUUAUGAAAUUUUGAACCUUAAUCAUUGCAUGGUAGUGAUAUCACUUAUAGUAGAGCUUAGUGUAAAUCCUUCGUCGGAGCUGCGAAGGGUUUCGGUUAUCUACGGGGGUUUCACUCAUGAAAUUUGGGGCAAAAUGGCCCUAUGCAUUACAUACUAGUCGUAAAGUCUUUUUAAAUGUAAAUCCAUGCUUGAUAGAAUUUAUGAAAAUUUUAGAACCCUUAAAAUGCAUAUGCAUGCGUAAGAUGAAUAUCACUUAUAUAGUAGAGCUAUAUGUGUAGACUGCAUGCUGCAAAAGGUGUGCAUCUUUGGAAGUUGAGAACAUGUCUCUUAUGCUAGAAAUGAUUAGAAUUAUGUAUUCAUGAACAUAAUUAUCAUGCUUGGACUCGUUGAACAAAAGUGUCAUAAAGGGGAAUGAAACUUGAUAAACAUAUGAAAAUGCAACUAGAGACAUAGUGAUAGACCAUUCGACAUAUACUAUAUUAUGUUAUAGACAUGAUGACAUAGUGAUAGGCCUUUGUGACAUUCGAUACAUUCCAUAUUUUUAGACAUAAGGACUUGAGACUUGAGAUAGACUUAUACGCAUGCUUGCCAUUGUGCUCAUUCGCACAUGCUUGUGAGGGUCGUCCCUACAAGCCGACACUCCGGAGUUAGCGUCGUGAUACCUAUUCGCCGUGCGGAUUGGGUGCCGAAGUGGAUUGCCGUGGGAAAGGCUCAUUCCUAGAGUGGGAUGUUGACUACCACGGACAUUAGGCACGGGCACGCCAGACAGCCUACGGUGGGUCUUACAGGGCCAGACAGCCUUCGGGUGGGUCUUCAUGCUAGGACAGCCUUCGAGUGGGUUCUUAUAGAUUAAACUUUUAACAGUUAAAGUGACAAGUGGACAUUGACUAGAAUAGUAAAUAAUGACAUCUUUACUAUUUGCAUCGAGGACAUCGUGUUGGUUGUAUACCAUGCUUAUACAUGUUAGUCAUUACUCAUGUACAUAUUGUUGUAGUUGCUUUAUUACUUAUGCAGUUCAUGCUAAGUAGAGAUAUCAUGGUAGAAUAGUGUCUCUUGGUUACAUACUUGUUCUUAUUUCGCUUUCGUUUAUACUUGUACUGACCCUCUUUUGUAACUUUUGGCCUAGUGGCGCAAUUUCACUAAAGUCAGUAAUUGCCCACUGGGAACUAUUAUUUAAUAGUUCUCACGCCCUCUGUUUUAUGGUUCUUUCAGUGCCUUCGGCACCGGCGUUGUACGGGAUCGGGGCUGUCGGUAGCUAGAUAGAGAGGAGCUUGUUUUGCUCCUAGGUGGUUGUCCUUCCUCUCUUUCUUUUGUUGUUGUGAGAGAGAGAGAUUUUGAGUACCAUGUACAGAGAGAUCAUCUUAUAUACUCUUUAUGUUUAGCUUUUGUAUUUGAAAUUUCCAUUGUACUACUUUAUGGCUUAUUAGUGGAUUUCAGUUUUAUACUUAUCCCUCUGUUGUAGAACUUAGUUAUUUCUUUGCUCUGAUAUCGUUAGAUCCCUUUGUUUACUGCUUUAUUUAUCAUUUUGUUUAGACGCCUUGUAUGUUUUAGAUAUAUGGCGGUCUGGGCACGCGCGUGCGGGCUUCCGCUGGGUCCCGGGGUGUGACAGAUUAGUUGGUAUCAGAGCUAGGGUUGAGUCUUAGUGGACCUAGUAAAUUUUAGGCCGGUUGGACUAUAGGAAAUAGGCUGCGUGAGAGAUGAGAGUCUAUUUGACUUGUAAGCCGACAGUAGUCUUGAUUGGAUAUCUUUGAUAACUCUAGAAAGUGAAGUUAAAUGAAGUGUAUAGCCCUAACUUCGCGGAGGGUUACGUUGGUGGCGACAACGUAACAUCGGGAGGUUAGUAGUGAAGCACACUUCAUUACUUUCGCCAUGAUUUUGGGUAUUAUCUGCUUGAGCGGGGAUACGCGAGCGUGGGUUACUAACUUACGUUUUAUGAUGUAGUGUGUGAUGCCGAUUACAUGCUCCCAAUCUGCCGGAGCAGAUAACAUGGCAAAUCUGAAGGGGGUCGGAGACCUCCGUACCUCCGGAUCCGCGAGCGUCGAGAGUGAGGGGCCAGCUUGCGGCCCUCACUGAUAUGGUGGCACAACAGACGGAGCAGCGCACCGACAAAAGGCGCGGAUGAAGCGCCUGGAGGACCUUUCUUUUACAGCAGGCGGCAGCUUUCAGGGAUACUCAGGCCUCUACAUCGCCAGCACCAGUUGUGGACGUCACACUGAGAGCGCCGUCCCCCGCCGCCAGUUCUUCACGAGCAGCGCCUGCGGCGCGCCUCAGGAGGAGCGCGUCGCGGUACCUCCUGUGCAGAGGCCCCGAUUGGAGCAGCUUUUCCUACUAUGGUCGAGGGGGCUGAGCGGGACCGACUUAUGGAGCGCCUCAACGAGAUCAGAGGUGCAGUCCUCGGAUCUUUGACGGAGAGAGGUCGACCACUGGAUGUGGAGAAGUGGUUGAUGGCAUAUGGAGAAGCUUUCCGCGACACCUUCGUGGAGGAGAGAGAUCGAAUUUGGUUCGCCACACACCACUUGGACGGCGAGGCCUAUCGCUGGUGGUUGGAUCUCCAAGAGAACCCUAGCACUGAUUUGGCGGCUAUUACUUGGAAGAGAUUCAAGGAGCUUCUUUUGCACUAACUUUACGACCAGCGUCAAGAUGAGGAUGGAGCAGGACUUGCGCAACUUGCGCUAGGGAGACAAGACAGUAGCCGAGUAUGAGCAGGAGUUUUCUAUCUUCUACACUGCGUGCCUUUCGUCGUGCGAGACGAUGAUGAAAGUUUUGAGGAGCCCACGGAUCUAUCUAGAUUGUAUCUAACACCUAGAGGGGGGUGAAUAGGUGUAAAAGCAAAAAACCACAAUCUCAAUGCGAUAAAAUAAAUGCGGAAAAUAAAAAUACACCAAGAUUUACGUGGGAAAACUCUAACUUGAGUACAAAAACCCACGGGCAAGCACGCGAAACAAUUCACUAAGAGAAAAGAUUACAAGGUGAUUACCGACUCACGGACUCAACCUCUCUUAACCUCCUAUGAAUCUUCGCGCAAUCCUCGUUGUCCACGCCCUCACGUUCAAAUCCAUGAACGCCUCCACUUCGAUCCACGAAGCUUCAAUCACGCCUAAUCCACGACGCCACUCGAAUCCACGAGCCCACGAUCGAAUCACGAACCGCCUUCGUUCACGCCGAAUCACGACGCCGUUCAUGAAGAGCAUCAUGAUUGUUGUGAUCUUCGCUUAGAGUAUCGAUAAAAACAAGGAAAGAAACUCCAAGCGAAGCGGAGAUCAAAUCGACAUAUGAUAUGAAAAUUCAAUAUCUCGAUUUGACCUAAAAGAGGCUUUAUGUAGAAAAAAUAGAUUUUAGAUGAAUCCGAGCUCUAGGGUUUCUCAAAAUGUAUUUUCGCGAUGCUUAAUGUGUUAGAGAACCCAAUGCUUAUUUAUAGACUUUAGAAUCAAUCGGAGUCGGAUUAGAAGUUUUCACAGUUUUACACUGUGUACCGGUACACGAAAGGUUGUCACCGUACAUAAUGACGGAACGAAAAUACAUUUGCAAUGUUGAUGGCUGUACCGGUACACAACGCAAUUUUUCGGAUAUUUGCACUGUUCCGGGUUCCGCAAAGUUCCGAACACUUUCUAUCAACUAAAACUUUGAUUAAAUGAUUCUAAUGCCUAUAAUUAAGUAUGAAUCACCAUAACAUGAAUUAAAACUUUACCUUUACGUCUGAUUCAUAUCGUGACUUAUUUCCAACUUUCUUCGAAAUCUUGAAUUCUUCAAUCUUCGACGACACGCACUGAUUCUUCAAGACUCCGACUCACUUCACGAAACUUGCCAACACACAAGACUUAACAAUCUCCCCCUUUGGCAAUUUCAUGAAAAACUCACACAAACUCAAAAUUACAUCGUAAAAAAACGAAGUUUAAUUGUCAUCACCAAACAUUGAACUCUCGGUGUAAUCCAAAUACAAUUUGAAACUCAAAAUUACAACAAAACUCCUAAAACAUACUCUAUGACUUAGAACAAACUAGGAGUCUUGAAGUCUUGAUUUCCUGCAAAAUAAUUUAUCCAAGAAAGUUACAUCAAAACAUUAGAUUCUUAUUACUUCUCCACCUUUGUUCUUGAUGAUCACAUCUCCCUUUUUUCUUGAAUUCCUCAUUUCUCCUUUUUGAUUCGAUCAACACUGUUCAUCUAGUUCUUCCCCUUUUUUCUGAAUUCUCAAAAGUUACAUCUAUGUUCUCCCCUUUUGUCAAAAAUUGCCAAACACAAAGCAUAUAAAGAGAAAAACAUAGUAGAAAUCAUAUAGAAAUUUUUAGAGAGUGAAAGAGAGCGAAUUGAAUUACGGAUUUUGGAGAGAAACAAAUGAUUGAGCGUUUAACAAAUUCUGUCAUGCGGUACUAAAACCUGUAUGCCAGAAUUUAAAAAUUUUGCCUCAAAAUGCUUCAUAAUAAAAUUAAUUUCAUAAAAAUUAAGAUUUUACUCCAAAAUAUUUGAUGAAAAUAAAUUAUUAUAAAUUUCAAAAUACAUCGAAACAUCAAAAUUUGUUAUCGAAAAUAAUCUAAUGAUUCAAACCAUCAAGAUGUAGUUGAUGAAAAAAUGAUUUUAGAAAUUCAACAAAAUUGACACCCAUUGUCGCAACACGUUCAAAAUAGAGAUUUAACUAAUAUGGCACCGGGGGUGCUCUUUGAGCAUCUUUUCAACUUACCACCUUAUAUUCGAAAAUUCUAAAUAUUCAAAUUUUUUUUAACCUUUUUCGGUUACUCAAUUUAAUCUUCAUGUGGUAGCUUCACACACUUGCCGGACGACCGGGUGGUAGCUCUUUUCUACAUGUGGUGGUAGUUUUCACACUCCUUUUGGAUGUAACUCAUUCCACAUUUUUAAACAUAGGAGUAUCUUUGCUUUUUUUUUUCAAACUCUCCCUAAAUUAGACAAUCUCAUAAUUGAAAAUAAUUUGACGAUUUUAGUCAAUUAGAGAACAUCCAUCCAUCAUAUCCAACACACACAACCAAGAUGAAUUAAUCACCAAGAGAUCAAAUUUGAUUUCAAAAUUUUUGAUGAAUAUAUGCAUUAAGAAAUCAUAUAUUAAAUUAUCGUCAAAAUAAUAAAAGUGGAGCAAAAACGAUAAUUAAUAUGAUUUAACCUAAUAUGAUUGUGAAGUUAAAUACGUUUACGCGACAUUAAAGAAAUUUAUUCUCUCAAAAUAAUGAUAUCUCAAUCAUUCUUUCGUCAAAAUUUUGAAUUCCUAAAACCUUUCCUCAAAAUGAUUUUUAACCAAAAACAAAUUCAAAGCCAGCAAAAUUAUUUAAACAUGUAAUGCAAUGAAUAAAUUAUGCAACAAACACCUAUCAAUGCACUACACAAGAAUU